UUUGCGUUAGGGAUGGAAGCGGCAUCCUUUUGUGGAGCGAUAGCGGAAUAAAAGAUAAAGCGAACAGCCCGACCUGCA
rnacentral:sRNA from 1 species